GACGAACGCUGGCGGCGUGCUUAACACAUGCAAGUCGAACGGAAAGGCCCUGCUUGCAGGGUACUCGAGUGGCGAACGGGUGAGUAACACGUGGGUGAUCUGCCCUGCACUUCGGGAUAAGCCUGGGAAACUGGGUCUAAUACCGGAUAGGAGCCAUUUUUAGUGUGAUGGUUGGAAAGUUUUUCGGUGUAGGAUGAGCUCGCGGCCUAUCAGCUUGUUGAUGGGGUAAUGGCCUACCAAGGCGGCGACGGGUAGCCGGCCUGAGAGGGUGGACGGCCACAUUGGGACUGAGAUACGGCCCAGACUCCUACGGGAGGCAGCAGUGGGGAAUAUUGCACAAUGGGCGCAAGCCUGAUGCAGCGACGCCGCGUGGGGGAUGACGGCCUUCGGGUUGUAAACUCCUUUCGCUAGGGACGAAGCUUUUUGUGACGGUACCUAGAUAAGAAGCACCGGCUAACUACGUG
rnacentral:rRNA from 1 species